CCUACGGGUGGCAGCAGUGAGGAAUAUUGGUCAAUGGACGCAAGUCUGAACCAGCCAUGCCGCGUGCAGGAAGACGGCUCUAUGAGUUGUAAACUGCUUUUGUACGAGGGUAAACGCAGAUACGCGUAUCUGUCUGAAAGUAUCGUACGAAUAAGGAUCGGCUAACUCCGUGCCAGCAGCCGCGGUAAUACGGGGGGUGCAAGGGUUGUCCGGAAUCAUUGGGCGUAAAGCGUUCGUAGGCGGCAAGGUAAGUCUGAUGUUAAAGCCCGGGGCUCAACCCCGGUUCGGCAUUGGAUACUAUCUAGCUAGAGUGUGGUAGAGGUAAAGGGAAUUCCUGGUGUAGCGGUGAAAUGCGUAGAUAUCAGGAGGAACAUCGGUGGCGAAGGCGCUUUACUGGACCAUUAUUGACGCUGAGGAACGAAAGCCAGGGGAGCAAAUGGGAUUAGAUACCCCUGUAGUC
rnacentral:rRNA from 1 species